rnacentral:lncRNA from 1 species
CCUGGACCCUCUCUGAGAUCCACUUUCUUUGUUUACACAUAGCCAUCCAGAAGACAGAAGUAUACAAGGGAUUUGUGAGUUCUGAACGCAGACCUUUGCUAUGAUGACAGACAUAUUGACUGUUGUUUUCCCUUGGCAUAUAUACACACUGCUGAGUUGGGAAGCUGCUUCAUUUGCAUUUAGCAUCCAGUGCCAGUCUCUGGUAAACUUGGGAAACAAAUAGAAACUCCGAGAUUGUUAAUCAGUAUACGUGAGUUUA